rnacentral:lncRNA from 1 species
GUCUGACUGAUUUUCAGAGCACCUUCGCUGUUUCCCCCUUCUCUUUCCCUUUCUGUAAAAUAUCUAGACAGGAAGGAGGUGGCUGCAGAGGCUGAACAAACAAUCUCAUAUUCUGCCUGCAAUGUCAUCGUUUCUUUCCCCCAUUUUAGGGGGCUGAAGUUGCCCAGGAAGGGGAUGCAGAGGAGCUGGAAAGGAAGGGGGGAGCUCUCCAGUGGCAGCUGCGGUCAGGGGCAGGGACUGCCGCCAGAUGUGCCUGCCUCUCUGGACUUUGAUGCGAAAGGGGCAGCAGGAGGAAAUAUUGGGAGACAAAAGCCCCGGUUUAAAUGAUCAUUUUCUUUAUUUAACAUGGCAGCAGACACUCUGCGUAAGAUCAUCAUGCCGAACAUAAACUGGACUUUCCCACUUGCCUGGCAGGAGUGAGACAGAUCACUGUGUGCUAAAUGAGCAUCUGAGUGUGCAUUCAUGCUAUGAGAAAUGACUUCAAAGCUAC